rnacentral:rRNA from 1 species
UACGUAGGGUGCGAGCGUUUGUCCGGAAUUAUUGGGCGUAAAGAGCUCGUAGGCGGUCUGUCGCGUCGGUCGUGAAAACUUGGGGCUUAACCCUGAGCUUGCGGUCGAUACGGGCAUGACUGGAGUUCGGCAGGGGAGACUGGAAUUCCUGGUGUAGCGGUGAAAUGCGCAGAUAUCAGGAGGAACACCAAUGGCGAAGGCAGCUCGCUGGGACGUGACUGACGCUGAGACGCGAAAGCGUGGGGAGCAAACAGG